CACGAACUGCGCGAACGUUAUUCGGAAUUACUGGGCUUAAAGGGUUCGUAGGCUGCUUGUUAAGUCGGGUGUGAAAUCCCUCGUCUCAACCGAGGAAUUGCGCUCGAAACUGGCGAGCUGGAGUAAGAUAGAGGUGAGCGGAACUGAUGGUGGAGCGGUGAAAUGCGUUGAUAUCAUCAGGAACACCGGUUGCGAAAGCGGCUCACUGGGUCUUUACUGACGCUGAGGAACGAAAGCUAGGGGAGCGAACGGG
rnacentral:rRNA from 1 species